AUGGCGAGGCAGCUAGACUCAGAGCCUCAGGGCCGCGUCACAGCCGUUGCCAGGCGCCUCCGAAGAAGACCACAUCUCCAGGUCUGUCCGGGCCAACGUACCUUCCACCCAUAUGUGUCUAGGAGACGGCAGGUGGAUGGCAGGACCCAGCCAGAAGUAGCGAAGCCAUCGUCUUGGACAUGCCGGCGUCGGCGUACAUUGCGCCCCGGGCGCCCACGCUCUAUGUUGCAGCCCUCAUCACAGCAUCGCAUUACCAGCAAGCCUCGCCGGAAAGACCGGGGAGGCCACCAUCUCCAGCUGCUGCAUCGGGGACUCCAAGUGCGACCCAAGCAGCACCUUCAAGAAGGAAACGGUGCUGAGACGCCGGCGCUGCCUUGUCCAGUAAACGGGACCAAGGGUUUCCCCCGGUGCUUGAGGAGAGGGUCCAGUCCGGACCAUGGCAGUGCCUCCAUGGAGGUAACGGCACCCUCAGGUGUCGCCGUUGUCAGCGCAGGCCAUCGCCGCGCAGGGAUCCCGCCCCGGCCCAAGACCAGAACCACAAAUACUGCCGAAGCAGAGCAGACAGGAGACGGGGAAGCAGAUCGCCGGAGAGGACCACCAGCACCGAGAGGGAAACCACGUAUCGUCACCGUCGAUGUAGGGAAGCACCGGCCAGCGCAGUGCAGCAGCCGCCGGAUGGCUGCCAAACAAGGCCAGCCACUGCAGGGGGACGUGUUGAGCAGGGCUAGUGGCGCCGUCGUGGGGACCUGCCACCUGCACCUUGCCGCCGCCGACCAUGGCCGCCGCCGCAGCGGCCCGCAGCCUCCGCCACCUGGAUCUGCUGGGGCACAGCCUAGCAGCCGCAGCCGCGCCCCCAAAGGGUUGCGCCGUGCCGCCCGCGUGCUCGCCACGCCAGGUCCAGAGGCCCGACCCUCUGGAUCUGGGGCCGCCGUCGCAAAACCCUAG
rnacentral:rRNA from 1 species